UCAAGUGAAUAAGUGCAUCAGGUGGAUGCCUUGGCGAUGAUAGGCGACGAAGGACGUGUAAGCCUGCGAAAAGCGUGGGGGAGCUGGCAAUAAAGCUAUGAUCCCGCGAUGUCCGAAUGGGGAAACCCACUGCAUUCUGUGCAGUAUCCUAAGUUGAAUACAUAGACUUAGAGAAGCGAACCCGGAGAACUGAACCAUCUAAGUACCCGGAGGAAAAGAAAUCAACCGAGAUUCCGCAAGUAGUGGCGAGCGAACGCGGAGGAGCCUGUACGUAAUAACUGUCGAGAUAGAAGAACAAGCUGGGAAGCUUGACCAUAGUGGGUGAUAGUCCCGUAUUCGAAAUCUCAACGGUGGUACUAAGCGUACGAAAAGUAGGGCGGGACACGUGAAAUCCUGUCUGAAUAUGGGGGGACCAUCCUCCAAGGCUAAAUACUCAUCAUCGACCGAUAGUGAACCAGUACCGUGAGGGAAAGGCGAAAAGAACCCCGGGAGGGGAGUGAAAUAGAACCUGAAACCUGAUGCAUACAAACAGUGGGAGCACCCAUGUGGUGUGACUGCGUACCUUUUGUAUAAUGGGUCAACGACUUACAUUCAGUAGCGAGCUUAACCGAAUAGGGGAGGCGUAGGGAAACCGAGUCUUAAUAGGGCGAAGAGUUGCUGGGUGUAGACCCGAAACCGAGUGAUCUAUCCAUGGCCAGGUUGAAGGUGCCGUAACAGGUACUGGAGGACCGAACCCACGCAUGUUGCAAAAUGCGGGGAUGAGCUGUGGAUAGGGGUGAAAGGCUAAACAAACUCGGAGAUAGCUGGUUCUCCCCGAAAACUAUUUAGGUAGUGCCUCGAGCAAGACACUGAUGGGGGUAAAGCACUGUUAUGGCUAGGGGGUUAUUGCAACUUACCAACCCAUGGCAAACUAAGAAUACCAUCAAGUGGUUCCUCGGGAGACAGACAGCGGGUGCUAACGUCCGUUGUCAAGAGGGAAACAACCCAGACCGCCAGCUAAGGUCCCAAAUGAUAGAUUAAGUGGUAAACGAAGUGGGAAGGCCCAGACAGCCAGGAUGUUGGCUUAGAAGCAGCCAUCAUUUAAAGAAAGCGUAAUAGCUCACUGGUCGAGUCGUCCUGCGCGGAAGAUGUAACGGGGCUCAAAUCUAUAACCGAAGCUGCGGAUGCUAGUUUACUAGCAUGGUAGGGGAGCGUUCUGUAGGCCGAUGAAGGUGCAUUGUAAAGUGUGCUGGAGGUAUCAGAAGUGCGAAUGUUGACAUGAGUAGCGAUAAAGCGGGUGAAAAGCCCGCUCGCCGAAAGCCCAAGGUUUCCUACGCAACGUUCAUCGGCGUAGGGUGAGUCGGCCCCUAAGGCGAGGCAGAAAUGCGUAGUCGAUGGGAAACAGGUUAAUAUUCCUGUACUUGAUUCAAAUGCGAUGUGGGGACGGAGAAGGUUAGGUUAGCAAGCUGUUGGAAUAGCUUGUUUAAGCCGGUAGGUGGAAGACUUAGGCAAAUCCGGGUCUUCUUAACACCGAGAAGUGACGACGAGUGUCUACGGACAUGAAGUAACCGAUACCACGCUUCCAGGAAAAGCCACUAAGCUUCAGUUUGAAUCGAACCGUACCGCAAACCGACACAGGUGGGCAGGAUGAGAAUUCUAAGGCGCUUGAGAGAACUCGGGAGAAGGAACUCGGCAAAUUGAUACCGUAACUUCGGGAGAAGGUAUGCCCUCUAAGGUUAAGGACUUGCUCCGUAAGCCUCGGAGGGUCGCAGAGAAUAGGUGGCUGCGACUGUUUAUUAAAAACACAGCACUCUGCUAACACGAAAGUGGACGUAUAGGGUGUGACGCCUGCCCGGUGCUGGAAGGUUAAUUGAAGAUGUGAGAGCAUCGGAUCGAAGCCCCAGUAAACGGCGGCCGUAACUAUAACGGUCCUAAGGGAGCGAAAUUCCUUGUCGGGUAAGUUCCGACCUGCACGAAUGGUGUAAUGAUCCGG
rnacentral:rRNA from 1 species